CCUACGGGCGGCAGCAGUGGGGAAUAUUGGACAAUGGGGGCAACCCUGAUCCAGCCAUGCCGCGUGUGUGAAGAAGGCCCUCGGGUUGUAAAGCACUUUCAGUGAGGAAGAACGCCUGGUGGUUAAUACCCAUCAGGAAAGACAUCACUCACAGAAGAAGCACCGGCUAACUCCGUGCCAGCAGCCGCGGUAAUACGGAGGGUGCGAGCGUUAAUCGGAAUUACUGGGCGUAAAGCGCGCGUAGGUGGCUUGAUAAGCCGGUUGUGAAAGCCCCGGGCUCGACCUGGGAACGGCAUCCGGAACUGUCAAGCUAGAGUGCAGGAGAGGAAGGUAGAAUUCCCGGUGUAGCGGUGAAAUGCGUAGAGAUCGGGAGGAAUACCAGUGGCGAAGGCGGCCUUCUGGACUGACACUGACACUGAGGUGCGAAAGCGUGGGUAGCAAACAGGAUUAGAUACCCUGGUAGUC
rnacentral:rRNA from 1 species